rnacentral:rRNA from 1 species
UGCGUAGGCGGUCGGGUAAGUCUGAUGUGAAAUCUCCAAGCUUAACUUGGAAAUGGCAUUGGAAACUACUCUGCUCGAGGGUUGGAGGGGGGACGUGGAAUACUUGGUGUAGCAGUGAAAUGCGUAGAUAUCAAGUGGAACACCAGUGGCGAAGGCGAGUCCCUGGACAACUCCUGACACUGAGGCACGAAAGCUAGGGGAGCAAACA